UACGAAGGGAGCUAGCGUUGUUCGGAAUCACUGGGCGUAAAGCGCACGUAGGCGGAUUCCUAAGUCGGUGGUGAAAUCCUGGAGCUCAACUCCAGAACUGCCUCCGAUACUGAGAGUCUCCGAGUCCGGGAGAGGUGAGUGGAACUGCGAGUGUAGAGGUGAAAUUCGUAGAUAUUCGCAAGAACACCAGUGGCGAAGGCGGCUCACUGGCCCGGUACUGACGCUGAGGUGCGAAAGCGUGGGGAGCAAACAGG
rnacentral:rRNA from 1 species